rnacentral:ribozyme from 1 species
CUUAAAGAGAUAAAAAAAUAAAAGUAUUAGUAGCUAAUUGUCGAUCAAAUUUUUUUUUGUUCUUUGUUUGUUUCUUUUCUUUUUUAUUGAAAACUUUUCUAAAACUUUUCGUUAUCU